GAUGAACGCUGGCGGCGUGCUUAACACAUGCAAGUCGAACGGGAAACCUUUUAUUGAAGCUUCGGCAGAUUUAGCUGGUUUCUAGUGGCGGCCGGGUGAGUAACGCGUGGGUAACCUGCCUUAUACAGGGGGAUAACAGUCAGAACUGGCUGCUAAUACCGCAUAAGCGCACAGAGCUGCAUGGCUCAGUGUGAAAAACUCCGGUGGUAUAAGAUGGACCCGCGUUGGAUUAGCUGGUUGGUGGGGUAACGGCCCACCAAGGCGCCGAUCCAUAGCCGGCCUGGGAGAGUGAACCGCCGCAUUGGGACUGAGACACGGCCCAGACUCCUACGGGAGGCAGCAGUGGGGAAUAUUGCACGAUGGGGGAAACCCUGAUGAAGCGACGCCGCGUGAAGGAGGAAGUAUCUCGGUAUGUAAACUUCUAUCAGCAGGGAAGAUAAUGACGGUACCUGACUAAGAAGCCCCGGCUAACUACGUG
rnacentral:rRNA from 1 species